AGAGAGAGAGAAGCCCCUGAGCACUGACCAGUGUUUGUUUCUCUCUUCCUGCUGAGACGAGAGCUGUCAGCUGUUUUCUGUUCCUGUCUUUACUUCCCUGCCACAGCAGCCUGUACUCUGGUCUUUGGAGCCGUGAGCCGAUAAGCACUUUCUCCCCUAACUUGCUUUUUUCUCAGGGUAAUUUCUCAAAACAACUGGAAAGGAAACUAUAACAUCCCAGUAAAAGGGCUAGAGAGGUAGCUUCUGGGCGGGCACUCUGUGGCGGAGCCGCUCUCUCCAGACCAGGGCCACCUCCACCUCCCACAGGGAGGAGGCCGCCCCCUAGGUGCCCAUUAAAGCCUGUGCACAGACCCUGGCUCCCUCGGGAGUUCAUGGAGGUCUGCUGAGUCGAGGUGUCAAGACUUCUGCUCACGAGUCUACAGUGGGUGAUCCUGUGACCCCGCCGAGCGGGCACUGACCCCUUCGCCCACAGACGAGGUGGCUUUGGAACAGGUUUUCCCCAUGAAUCAUAUAGACUCUGGGUCAGAGCCCAGCCCACUUCCUUCCCCAGGGCCACUUCCUCAUUUGUCCAAGAAGGAGCCACUAUCUCUCAGAAGCUGGGGCUGUCCCGGGAGCGGCACGGCAGGCAACAGGGACCCCUGGUGGGAAGAUCCUGGUGCUUAGUUCCAGCCGGAGCUACCCGGCUCCAUCUAACUGGGCUGAGCUUGGCUGCCUGCAGUCCCAUCCUCACUGACACUUGCUUUGGGCCAAUAACUCGCAUUCUGUGCCCUUUUCCUUUGUAGUCGUUUACAUUCUUCCGGGGACAGGGAGAGGAGAGCCCCAGUUCGAAUUUUGGCGUGCAGGAGGAAAUUUCGUCCUGUGGAUCACAAAGUGGGGGGUCUCUCUGUGUAAUUCUCCUGGAACUCACUCUGCAGACCAGGCUGGCCUCGGACUCAUACAGAUCCACCUGCUUCUGCCUCCCGAGUGCUGGGAUGAAAGGAAUGAAAAGGAUGUCCUCUGAUACCUGGCCUGAGAAGUUUGUAUUUAAAGGCACCGGGGCUAUGGCUGGUCCUGGAAGGGUGGGGGAGAAACGACAGGACACAGAGUCUGAGGCGGAGAGGAGGGGACCUGCCUGGUUCAGGCUGAACUGUUGGGACACGGGAGGCUUAAAUUUAGGAGGUGACAGGCACGCCUGCUGCAGGCAGAGGCCGAUCAAAGUUGGGUGUUUCGGCCCGAGGCAGCAGAGAGGGCAGAAGGGGACAAAAGCAGGGGUGGGUGGGGAGUGGAUGGGCUUGCGCCUGGCGGCCUGUUUGUUGGCCUCUGCUGCCUCCUACUGGCUCAUCGUGGAACUGUGGGGGAGCUGCGAGGUUCCCGGAUCCAAGAUUGGCUGUUUUUCACACUCCUCCUUCCUCACCUCUUCUUUCCUUGUAGUGUUUUUAAAAAACUACACAUAUUUAAUAUUGUGUGCGUGCCAAAGCUCAGAGGGUGGUUUGUGGGAGUCAGUUCCCGCCUUCCAAUGUGUGGGUGCUGGGGAUCGAAACUCAGGCCAUCAGUCUUGCAGCAAGCCCCUUUACCCGCAGAGCCAUCUUGCUGGCCUGUUUUUAGUUCGUGAAUAUUUAAGCACAAAUAUCUUAGUGGGAAGACCGUUUGUUUCACUGUUUCCCCUCCCAACAUUGUCACCCCUGUGGUAUUGUCCCCACCUCAUCGAUUGUCCCCGAGUCUCCGGGAGGUCACUAGGGAUAGGUCUCUGUUUUGAUUAUAGAUAUCUCCUGGAACCCAAAACAGUGAUGUAUGCAGGAGACGCUUCAUAAAUACUUGUGGAAUUCAUGAAUGGAUGCUUCACCCCUCUUGCUCUCCAACCCUUCCUAUUCAAUCAACAACCAGCCCUUGCUAGGACUCUGCUCCGCGUGACUUUCUUCAGCCAAGGCAAAACGAGUGGAAACUGCUUCCAGCUCGGAGUUUAUAAAUAAAGUCACUUUCGUGCACGUCGCGGUCCUUGCUUUUCCCGGCUAUCAAGUCUAACCCUGAGCCGGGUGGUGUUGGCACACGCCUUUAAUCCCAACUCUCGGGAGGCAGAGGCAGACGAUCUCUAUGAGUUUGAGGCCAGCUUGGUCUACAAGAGCUAGUUCCAGAACAGGCUUCAAAGCUUCAGAGAAACUCUGUCUCGAAAAACAAAAAACAAACAAAAGUCUAACCAUAUCACCUGGUUUCUGAAGAUCUGAAGAUGUCCAUACAUGAAGCAAAGUUUUCCUGAUCCUUGCUGCACCUGCCUGCCUACCUGACGCAAA